rnacentral:rRNA from 1 species
AGCGAACGCUGGCGGCAGGCCUAACACAUGCAAGUCGAACGCACCUUCGGGUGAGUGGCGGACGGGUGAGUAACACGUGGGAACGUACCUUUAGGUUCGGAAUAACGCAGGGAACUUGCGCUAAUACCGAAUGUGCCCUUCGGGGAAAGAUUUAUCGCCUUUAGAGCGGCCCGCGUUAGAUUAGCUAGUUGGUGGGGUAAGUGGCCCACCAAGGCUACGAUCUAUAGCUGGUCUGAGAGGAUGAUCAGCCACACUGGGACUGAGACACGGCCCAGACUCCUACGGGAGGCAGCAGUGGGGAAUCUUGCGCAAUGGGCGAAAGCCUGACGCAGCCAUGCCGCGUGAAUGA